GCCUGGGUGGCUCAGUGGUUGAGCAUCUGCCUUUGGCUCAGAUCGUGAUCCUGGAGUCCUGGGAUCGAGUCCCACAUCAGGCU
rnacentral:tRNA from 1 species